rnacentral:rRNA from 1 species
GAUGAACGCUGGCGGCGUGCCUAAUACAUGCAAGUCGAACGCGAGCAGCAAUGCUCGAGUGGCGAACGGGUGAGUAAUACAUAAGUAACCUGCCCUAGACAGGGGGAUAACUGCUGGAAACGGCAGCUAAGACCGCAUAAUGCUUUUGAGCGGCAUCGCUUGAAAGCCAAAGAUUUAUCGCUGAAAGAUGGUCUCGCGUCUGAUUAGCUAGUUGGUGAGGUAACGGCUCACCAAGGCGACGAUCAGUAGCCGGUCUGAGAGGAUGAACGGCCACAUUGGGACUGAGAUACGGCCCAG